rnacentral:lncRNA from 1 species
GCAGGGUCCUCUGCCUAGGAAAACCAGAGAAUUUUGUUCACUUGUUUAUCUGCUGACCUUCCCUCCACUAUUGUCCUGUGACCCUGCCAAAUCCCCCUCUGCGAGAAACACCCAAGAAUGAUCAAUAAAAAAGAAAAAAAAAAAAAAAAAGAAAUCCCAAAGAACCAACAAAAAGUGAUCAUAAGAAGGUUGCAGAGACAGCAUCUCACAGUGUUGCCCAGACUGGAGAGCAGUGCACUGCAACUUCUAACUCCUGGGCUCAAGUGAUCCUUCUGCCUCAGCCUCCAGAGUAGCUGGGACUACAGGUGCAUGCCACCAUGCUUGGCAAUAAUCUAUAUAUCUGAUAAUUAUAUAAUUAUAUAGCCACCUCAUCUCUAUUUUUGUUA